rnacentral:rRNA from 1 species
CAGCCGCCGCGGUAAUACGUAGGGUGCAAGCGUUAAUCGGAAUUACUGGGCGUAAAGCGUGCGCAGGCGGUUAUAUAAGUCAGAUGUGAAAUCUUCGGGCUCAACCCGAAGUCUGCAUGCGAAACUGUCGGGCUUGAGUAUGGGAGAGGUGAGUGGAAUUUCCGGUGUAGCGGUGAAAUGCGCAGAGAUCUGGAGGAAUACCGGUGGCGAAGGCGGCCCCCUGGACAAAGACUGACGCUCAGGUGCGAAAGCGUGGGGGGCAAACAGGAUUAGAUACCCCAGUAGUCCCUGUCUCUUAUAC